rnacentral:rRNA from 1 species
AACGAACGCUGGCGGCAUGCCUAACACAUGCAAGUCGAGCGAGACCUUCGGGUCUAGUGGCGCACGGGGGCGUAACGUGUGGGAACCUGCCGUAAGGUUCGGAAUAACUCCCCGAAAGGGGGGCUAACACCGGAUAAUGUCCGCGGACCCAAGAUUUCUCGCCUUUGGAUGGGCCCGCGUUGGUUUAGCUAGUUGGUAGGGUAAAAGCCUACCUAGGCGACGAUCCAUAGCGGGUCUGAGAGGAUGAUCAGCCACACUGGGACGGAGACACGGCCCAGACUCCUACGGGAGGCAGCAGUGGGGAAUAUUGGACAAUGGGCGAAAGCCUGAUCCAGCAAUGCCGCGUGAGUGAUGAAGGCCUUAGGGUUGUAAAGCUCUUUUACCCGGGAUGAUAAUGACAGUACCGGGAGAAUAAGCUCCGGCUAACUCCGUG